rnacentral:pre_miRNA from 1 species
UCCGGGAGCCCGGCUUUUCAUUUGUUUGAAACCAGCCAAGACGAGUAUGGUGGUUACAAAGUAUUUGAAAAGUCGUGCUCUGGAA